rnacentral:rRNA from 1 species
UGUCUAAUACUUCAUAAUAUCCAUCUCGUAUGGAUUAAAGCUUUAUGCGCUUUGGGAGGGGCCUGCGUAACAUUAGCUUGUUGGUGAGGUAAAAGCUCACCAAGGCUUCGAUGUUUAACUGGUUUGAGAGGAUGACCAGUCACACUGGGACUGAGAUACGGCCCAGACUCCUACGGGAGGCAGCAGUAAGGAAUCUUCCACAAUGGGGGCAACCCUGAUGGAGCAAUACCGCGUGCAGGAUGAAGCGUUUCGGCGUGUAAAACUGCUUUUAUCACCGAAGAUUAUGACUGUAGGUGAAGAAUAAGGACCGGCUAACUACGUGC